rfam:Dipodomys ordii contig_18775, whole genome shotgun sequence.
GGGAAGUUGGCUCAGUGGUAGAGUGUUUGCCUCACAAGCAUGAGGCCCUAGGUUCAAAUCCUCAGCACCACA